AUUGAACGCUGGCGGCAUGCCUUACACAUGCAAGUCGAACGGCAGCACGGGGGCAACCCUGGUGGCGAGUGGCGAACGGGUGAGUAACAUAUCGGAACGUGCCCUGGAGUGGGGGAUAACUAGUCGAAAGAUUAGCUAAUACCGCAUACGAUCUACGGAUGAAAGUGGGGGAUCGCAAGACCUCAUGCUCGUGGAGCGGC
rnacentral:rRNA from 1 species